GAUGAACGCUGGCGGCGUGCUUAACACAUGCAAGUCGAACGAAACACCUUAUUUGAUUUUCUUCGGAACUGAAGAUUUGGUGAUUGAGUGGCGGACGGGUGAGUAACGCGUGGGUAACCUACCCUGUACAGGGGGAUAACAGUCAGAAAUGACUGCUAAUACCGCAUAAGACCACAGCACCGCAUGGUGCAGGGGCAAAAACUCCGGUGGUACAGGAUGGACCCGCGUCUGAUUAGCUGGUUGGUGAGGUAACGGCUCACCAAGGCGACGAUCAGUAGCCGGCUUGAGAGAGUGAACGGCCACAUUGGGACUGAGACACGGCCCAAACUCCUACGGGAGGCAGCAGUGGGGAAUAUUGCACAAUGGGGGAAACCCUGAUGCAGCGACGCCGCGUGAGUGAAGAAGUAUCUCGGUAUGUAAAGCUCUAUCAGCAGGGAAGAAAAUGACGGUACCUGACUAAGAAGCCCCGGCUAACUACGUGCCAGCAGCCGCGGUAAUACGUAGGGGGCAAGCGUUAUCCGGAAUUACUGGGUGUAAAGGGUGCGUAGGUGGUAUGGCAAGUCAGAAGUGAAAACCCAGGGCUUAACUCUGGGACUGCUUUUGAAACUGUCAGACUGGAGUGCAGGAGAGGUAAGCGGAAUUCCUAGUGUAGCGGUGAAAUGCGUAGAUAUUAGGAGGAACAUCAGUGGCGAAGGCGGCUUACUGGACUGAAACUGACACUGAGGCACGAAAGCGUGGGGAGCAAACAGGAUUAGAUACCCUGGUAGUCCACGCUGUAAACG
rnacentral:rRNA from 1 species